ensembl:lncRNA
CUAUAGCGAAGCUAUUCAGCAGCCCUUUGGAAUCACUUUCUCCUGUGCAAUGAGGUGGCAUCUGCCCCAUGGACUGAGCAGGGUUCUGAGGGGCUGCUGCUGCAUGAGACACAGCAAUGGCUUCCCCUGGCAGAGCAGGAGAAGCCCAGGGGGGGGGAACUGUGCGGCUCUGGAAGAACAGCCACAGAGAUGCAUUUUCCCAGAAGAGUUCAGUUGGUAAAUAAGUACUUUGUUUCCUUAAGUCACAAAAGCUAACCUUUAUCUGCUGUGGUUCUUUUCCUUAUUUAGGAGUAGAUUUGGUCAGAAAAGGAACUCUAACCUCUCUGUGCAUCGUCCUUCAUCCUCUUCAACAGAAGAAUGCCAGGAUGAGAGCAAGAAACCACCUGAUCCUCCCUGAGCGCUUGGAGAGUGAAAAUGGGCACGUGGCAGAGGUGUCUGCACCGCCAUCCUGCGCCACGGAGCACGAUGAGCUACUGGUGGACAUGAGGAACUUCAUUGCUUUCCAGGCCCGUGUGGAUGGCCAGGCCAGCACCCGAGAGCUCCUACAGGAGUUCGAGCCCAAGCUGUCUGCAUCACAGUCCUGUGUCUUCCGAGCUGCUGAGGAACCUGUGCACCUUUCACAGGACACCAGGCGGGGAAGGAGUGUGGAGACUCAGGCCAGAGUACUGCUGAGUCUGGCAUUCCCCCACCUCCUGGCUCCCAGCACAGGAUUCGGAACCCCCCACCUGGGCCUGUGACCCUCCACAUGGCAUCUACCUCAUGACCAGAGCCAAGGAAGGAAGUGGUGUUCCUCAGCCCUGCAGAGUUUCAAAAUGCUGACUGAAGAAGGAAAUACUGGGCCUGGGGGUGGGAACUAUGUUAUAAAAUCAGGGACCCAACAGAUAAUCCUCGCAGCACAUGUGUUCCUUUGGCCAAAAGAUACUGUCAGGGAGCGCCUUGUGCUCAUGGAGAGGUUUGUGGGACAGAAGUCUCAUUUUAUUGGUGCUAGACACAUGGCUUCCAUUCAGUCAACCUGUUCAAUAAAUUAGAUUUUCAGUAUUUGAUAGCAGCAGUGUUCUGGUGCGUAACUUUUAAAUGCUUAAAUUUACCAUUUGCCACCCAAAAGAGAUCAGUUUCUUAUCUUGGAAAACAGUUGCCUUCAUAAACAGUCUCCUUUUAAGUUACUAUACAUUGGCAGGUUUUAAAAUUUUUGCUUUUGGUGCUGAGAGUUGAGCUUAGGCCCUCGCAUACUGAGUGCAGGCUCCACCCUGAACCGAAUGUCCCGCUGCAGGUGUUACCAUGAGUAAAGCAGGAAAUAACUUGUUAAUAGUCAUGUACUCAGUUUAUCCCGGCUGUACUUUAAGUGAAAGGUGCCCCCCGCCAUAGUAACUGUUGAUUUCGAGGAAAGUUGAAAGUGUUACCAUGUUUUACACAUUAAAUGAAAAAUCCAAGCAGAACUGCUAGGGAAGUGCACCACCCAGGAACAUCCCUGCAGAUCUCAGCCAGGGUCUGGCCUGUCCCUGUGCAGCAGGUGUCCCACGCACUUGGACUGCACGUGUAUGUGCCCCUGCUGCGGAGCCGGUGCCUUCAGAUCUGAGCCGCUUCAGCUGUGGCUCCUCUGCAGUCACUGCUCAUGCCUUCCCUUAUGGGCGUGACUCUCCUGUCUCAGUGGCUUGCUUUUCACUUGAGCCUGUUCGUGGGUUUAUGGUUCUGUGGUGGUGCAGCCUUACUCCUGUCCCUCAGCCUUGUUUUUCUCAUUUCCUUCUCAUGGUUGCAUGUCAUCUCUUCUCUGAAGUCUUGUUACCCUGAGUCUAUUGUAUUCCUGCUUUUCCGCCAUAGCUGUCACACUGCAGUUUGUCUCCUGGAUGUUUCCGCUGCCUGGUGCUUUUUGUCUUCCAUUUCUCUGUACGUGUAUUUUGCUCACCUCCCUCCCAUGCCUCGGCCUACGCCUUCUCAUACUUACAGUGGGCAGCCAUGUGCAGUCCCAUCUGCUUUUCCCUGCUACCCAGAGGAGGCACCUCUGCAGGCUGUGUGUUGCUGCAGCUGCCCGAUAUGGGCUCGGCUCUCUGUGCGGAGACUUUGAUUGAUAGGUCAGGCCAGGGAUCCUUCCCCGCAGUCAUGGUUCCCAGCAGGAUCUCCUGCUUCCAUUCUUAGGAUUCCGGCUUGUUCAUUUUUAUAUAUCUGUAUGUGUGUUUGUGCGUGCAUUUGUGUGUGUGUGUGUGUGUGUAUGUGGGGAGGAAGGUUACAUUACUUCACUUUACCAUAGGAGGGAUUACUAAGGUCAGUGAGUCCUAACCUUCAGUACCUGGCACAAUGGAGGUCAAAACUCAUGGCUGGUUUGCUUCUGGGGAGCUUUCCAUUUAUUUUUAUGUUUAUAAUCCCUAGCCUGUAGAAAAAUUGUGUCCUUUUGUUCUCAGGGCUUCCUACCUGUAGUGUCAGAAGUCUAAACCGUAUUGAGCUAGAGAGAAGGUAAAGUGUAGCUUUCUCUUCAACUAAAAAUACCUGUCGGAAGUUGGCAGUGCAGUAAUCGUGAGGUGGUCUUCACCCAAGCUGUGCCUGCAUGCUCUGGCCCUGGGUGGGCUGUGUCUCGGGCUGGACACCUGUGAACACAAUCCUGUCCUCUCGUUUGAUGGACAAGGACAACGAUGCUCUGUGGAAGUGGUUUUGACAAGACAGGUAACUUAUUCAUUAGAUAAAGUCUAACUUCUAGAAUAUUAAAUGGUUUGUGCAGUGUAAAUAUAUUUAAUGUGUAUAUCAGUAUGAAUAAAGGAUUUAAAAAUUUUGUCGGAGUUUACAAAUUCCUUAGUUACUACAUAAAUGUGCAAGGGGUGAUGAGAAUAUACCGCGAGUCAGCCUCCCUGCCAGUGGUGGCCACGCGGCAAAGUCCCAAGCAGGGCAAUGAAACACUUCCAGGUGGGCUGUACACGAGGGACUGGGCUGUGCUCUACCCUGGAUGGCCCCUGCUUACUGGCUGGGAUGCCGCUGGGGCUUCAGUGUCCUGACGUUAGAGCGCACAGUGGACACGGAGGAUGGAGAAGCUCUGCCAGGCCUGGACUGCUCUCUGACCUGUUGCUUCAGAGUAAAAUAGGUUACUGACUUGUUUAAGCCACUGUCUCUUGGACCUUCUUUAUUACAGGUUUUAGGUAAUUGACAUGAAUGUGAUUAUACCCUCCUUAUUGUACCUAACUUACGUGCAAGACAUCUUUUCAUACCUCUAAUAAAGUUCUGGCUUCAUGAAAGUGUUGGGCUAGAUGACAUAGUUUUUAAAAUUGUAAUGGAUAUAGUUGUUGUUUCCUCCAGUUCACAGUCCAUUAAAGGACCUAUCUCUUUACACCUUUGCCACCAGAAGGUAGCAUCAGUCUUUAUGUAUGGUUGUUUUUAAACCAGUCUUGUGAUAGAAAAGCACCUUGCUGUAACUCGAAUUUUGUAAUUACUUGCAAAGCCAAACAUUCCCACGUUUAUUGGCUCUUCGUAGAUCUCUGCUGUAACUUGCUCGUAUGACUCAUUUCUACCUCAUAUUCUUUGCGUUAUCUCUUUGUUGGGGUUGUUUCCCCAAGCACAGAUGAAAAGGGACUUGACCCAACUAUUACUAAAUAGUCUGUUCUUCACUCCAAGUAUCCACUCUUCGCAUGCUGUGUUUACUUCUGGGUGGUGGGUGUGAACCUCUGUCUCUGCACCCGUUCCCAGUGGUUCACUUAGUUUUGCCCUGUGUUCAGCUACCUGUGGCCGUCUCCCCCUCCAUUGUCUUGUGCACUUUUUGUUCCAAAUAGUAUAGAAUCAGCUUAUUAAGUUCUAAGAUUGUGUUGCUCUUUUGACUGAGACUGUGCUGGUUUAUUUGUUAAUAGAGGAUAAUAGAAUUUUCAUAAUUAAUAUAAUUUCCCCCAUUAACCCUCAUUUAAGUCCUUUAAUCCUGGAUAAAAUUUUAAUAACUUCAUAAAGGUCUUACACUUCAUAUUAGGCUUACUGCUUGUAUCUUACAGAUUUUUAGUUUUGGUUGGGGUUCUUUUUCCUUUUACAUAAAAAUAUGGAGUCAUCAGGACAUCCAUAUAUCUACUUAGUGUUGUUUAUCACUCAAGUUUCUACAUUUAAAUGUAGUAAAUUUAGUCUUUCAAUAUUUUGUCUCAUUUAAAAACCUCUUCCCUCCUAGGUCAUUAAUAAAUUCUCGUAUAUUCUCUUGUUAUAUGGAAGUAGCUCCCUUCCCUAGCAUCUUAAGAAAAAAACAGGCAUUCUUUCCCUCCUUAUUUGUAAGGACCCCUCUAUCAUUAUAUCCUAUUUCCAUACAAUGAAGCGAGAAUGUUGCUGGGCUCUUUCUGUGUUCAUUUGGUCCAUUUACCUAGCUUUGCUAGUGAGCCACUGUUUAAAUCAUUGUGGCUUAAUAAUUGGUAAUUUUAAAUAAUAGAAUGGUUCUUGAACCUUUGUUCCAUUUGGAACAUUUGUUCCAAUCUUGUCACAUUUAGAUUUUGUUAUUUCUGUGAUUGUAGUGAAUGUGCAGAUUUGUUUAUGAUACUGAGCUUCUCAUCUAUGAAUAGGUCCUGGUGAUCCAUUUUCUUUUAAUACAGC